rnacentral:rRNA from 1 species
CGGUAAUACGGGAGUGGCAAGCGUUAUCCGGANAUUAUUGGGCGUAAAGCGUCCGCAGGCGGCCUUGAAAGUCUGUCGUUAAAGCGUGGAGCUUAACUCCAUUUCGGCGGUGGAAACUACAAGGCUUGAGUGUGGUAGGGGCAGAGGGAAUUCCCGGUGUAGCGGUGAAAUGCGUAGAUAUCGGGAAGAACACCAGUGGCGAAGGCGCUCUGCUGGGCCAUAACUGACGCUCAUGGACGAAAGCUAGGGGAGCGAAAGGGAUUAGAUACCCCUGUAGUCCUAGCCGUAAACGAUGAACACUAGGUGUCGGGGGAAUCGACCCCCUCGGUGUCGUAGCUAACGCGUUAAGUGUUCCGCCUGGGGAGUACGNCACGCAAGUGUGAAACUCAAAGGAAUUGGCGGGGGGAGCACA